UGCCAUCAAGGCAUAUGUACGUAUACCUGCAAAACACAAUGGGCGAGCCGGCAAGGCUGCUAUAGACAACUAUACAUCCAAAACUGAAAACUGACAAGGCCACAUACAACCCAACUAGACAUACUGUCUACAGACCUCUAAUAGAAACAUAACUGUACAAAGACGGGACUGAGCCACGUCAUACCCAUAUAUAUAUACACACACACACACACACACAAAAGUAUCGUACCAAAAUCAAAAGCAACUCUGGAUCAAGUGGAACACUCCAACUCUCGCUAAUAAAGGAUCCUAAGAAGGGGGACCGUCAACUUGCCUACCCGCACCUACAGGCAUGAAAUACAGGCCCCGUGAAUUAGGGCGCCAGUACGAAAAAUGUACUGAGUAUGUAAGGCAUGAAAAUUAGUACGUAACAGACAUAUAUGAAACAUGGAAUAUAGAAACACAUCUUCAAAUCUGAAUAACUUUGUAAAUUCUAAAACAUUUAUAAUAUCAUGCACGUGCGAAUAAAUGUCAUGCCAUGCAUAGUUAUGGGUGUACAUUAUAUCAUCAAGCCACGGAGGGCAUCCCAUCAUAUCGUCUCGGCCACUGUGGGCAACAUCAUCAAUACCAGCUGAUCAGGUGGUGGUGCAUAUAUAACGCCGUAACCUUUUCCUAUAUCCCAUAUACAUAUAUUUACAUAUAUACGCAUAUAUAACGCCAUCUGGUAAUGGGUCAAUGCAUAUGUAUAAAUGGGUGAAAUGCAUGAAAAAUACGUAAUAAUCUCAAUUUUUCUUUCGGAUAAACUUUUUCAACUGUGUAUUAUUCUGAGACCCAUGAACAGAAGAUAAUAAAAAUUCUCAUAGGGAAUCAAGAAUAUAAACGCCUCUAAUAUCUCUAUGAAUAGAGUAAUUUAUGGAAAUUGUGUGUUUGCUCGUUUCUUCUAUAUAAGUCGGACCAUGCCAAAAGAAAGAAGGGAUGACCUUAACAUACCAGUUCCUGGAAUUAUUUGAACAGAAUAAAGCUUCUGCUUCUAUGAAAUAUGUUGAACGAAAUUCUGCUUGAAUCCCUUGUAAUUUUGAAACGAAGUUGUGGUUGCUUGUUUUGAAAUUUCAAUCGAAAUUUUGUCUAAGGAUUUGGACGAAAUGGUUUCUUGUUUCAACGUUCUUGGUUUCCAACCAAAAACAAAUUGUUGUUUUGAUCAUUUUUACAAGGAAGCGAUAUCAAUCUUCCUGGAUAAGG
rnacentral:lncRNA from 1 species